rnacentral:rRNA from 1 species
UGUGAACUCGAAGAGUAGGGCGGGACACGUGGUAUCCUGUCUGAAUAUGGGGGGACCAUCCUCCAAGGCUAAAUACUCCUGACUGACCGAUAGUGAACCAGUACCGUGAGGGAAAGGCGAAAAGAACCCCGGCGAGGGGAGUGAAAAAGAACCUGAAACCGUGUACGUACAAGCAGUAGGAGCCCACUAGUUGGGUGACUGCGUACCUUUUGUAUAAUGGGUCAGCGACUUAUAUUCUGUAGCAAGGUUAACCGUAUAGGGGAGCCGCAGGGAAACCGAGUCUUAACUGGGCGUUAAGUUGCAGGGUAUAGACCCGAAACCCGGUGAUCUAGCCAUGGGCAGGUUGAAGGUUGGGUAACACUAACUGGAGGACCGAACCGACUAAUGUUGAAAAAUUAGCGGAUGACUUGUGGCUGGGGGUGAAAGGCCAAUCAAACCGGGAGAUAGCUGGUUCUCCCCGAAAGCUAUUUAGGUAGCGCCUCGUGAACUCAUCUUCGGGGGUAGAGCACUGUUUCGGCUAGGGGGUCAUCCCGACUUACCAACCCGAUGCAAACUACGAAUACCGAAGAAUGUUAUCACGGGAGACACACGGCGGGUGCUAACGUCCGUCGUGAAGAGGGAAACAACCCAGACCGCCAGCUAAGGUCCCAAAGUCAUGGUUAAGUGGGAAACGAUGUGGGAAGGCCCAGACAGCCAGGAUGUUGGCUUAGAAGCAGCCAUCAUUUAAAGAAAGCGUAAUAGCUCACUGGUCGAGUCGGCCUGCGCGGAAGAUGUAACGGGGCUAAACCAUGCACCGAAGCUGCGGCAGCGAC